GUGCCAGCCGCCGCGGUAACACCCGCGGCUCGAGUGGUGACCAUUAUUAUUGAGCUUAAAGUGUUCGUAGCCGGUCUGGUAAAUCUCUGGGUAAAUCGGACGGCUCAACCGUUCGAAUACCAGGGAGACUGCUAGACUUGGGACCGGGAGAGGCCAGAGGUACUUUUGGGGUGGAAGUAAAAUUCUGUAAUCCUAAAAGGACCACCAGUGGCGCAAGCGUCUGGCUAGAACGGAUCCGACGGUGAGGGACGAAGCCCUGGGCGCGAACCGGAUUAGAAACCCCAGUAGUCC
rnacentral:rRNA from 1 species